UACGUAGGGUGCAAGCGUUAAUCGGAAUUACUGGGCGUAAAGCGUGCGCAGGCGGCUAUGCAAGACAGAUGUGAAAUCCCCGGGCUUAACCUGGGAACUGCAUUUGUGACUGCAUGGCUAGAGUGCGGCAGAGGGGGAUGGAAUUCCGGCGUGUAGCAGUGAAAUGCGUAGAUAUGCGGAGGAACACCGAUGGCGAAGGCAAUCCCCUGGGCCUGCACUGACGCUCAUGCACGAAAGCGUGGGGGAGCGAACAGG
rnacentral:rRNA from 1 species